CAGCAGCCGCGGUAAUACGGAGGGUGCAAGCGUUAAUCGGAAUUACUGGGCGUAAAGCGCACGCAGGCGGUCUGUCAAGUCGGAUGUGAAAUCCCCGGGCUCAACCUGGGAACUGCAUCCGAAACUGGCAGGCUAGAGUCUUGUAGAGGGGGGUAGAAUUCCAGGUGUAGCGGUGAAAUGCGUAGAGAUCUGGAGGAAUACCGGUGGCGAAGGCGGCCCCCUGGACAAAGACUGACGCUCAGGUGCGAAAGCGUGGGGAGCAAACAGGAUUAGAUACCCCGGUAGUCCUGUCUCUUAUACA
rnacentral:rRNA from 1 species